UUCCGGUUGAUCCCGCCGGACCUGACUGCUAUCGGAUUGAUACUAAGCCAUGCGAGUCUUUGUAGUAAUACAAGGCAGACGGCUCAGUAACGCGUAGUCAAUCUAACCUAUAGAUGGGGAUAACCUCGGGAAACUGAGAAUAAUACCCAAUAGGUCAUUAUGCCUGGAAUGGUUUAUGACUUAAAUGAUUUUUCGCUGUAGGAUGAGACUGCGGUCUAUCAGCUUGUUGGUGAGGUAAUGGCCCACCAAGGCUAUAACAGAUACGGGCUCUGAGAGGAGAAGCCCGGAGAUGGGUACUGAGACACGGACCCAGGCCCUAUGGGGCGCAGCAGGCGAGAAAACUUUGCAAUGUGCGAAAGCACGACAAGGUUAAUCCGAGUGUUUUCUGCUAAAGAAAUCUUUUGUCAGUCUUAGAACCACUAACGAAUAAGGGGUGGGCAAGUUCUGGUGUCAGCCGCCGCGGUAAAACCAGCACCUCAAGUGGUCAGGAGGAUUAUUGGGCCUAAAGCAUCCGUAGCCUGCUUUGUAAGUUUUCGGUUAAAUCCAUAUGCUCAACAUAUGGGCUGCCGGGAAUACUGCACAGCUAGGGAGUGGGAGAGGUAGACGGUACUCGGUAGGUAGGGGUAAAAUCCUUUGAUCUAUUGACGACCACCUGUGGCGAAGGCGGUCUACCAGAACACGUUCGACGGUGAGGGAUGAAAGCUGGGGGAGCAAACCGGAUUAGAUACCCGGGUAGUCCCAGCUGUAAACUAUGCAAACUCGGUGAUGCAUUGGCUUGUAGCCAGUGCAGUGCCGCAGGG
rnacentral:rRNA from 1 species